AGCUGCUCAGUCCCACUUCACCCAAUUUAGAAUCUCCUGCCUCUUGAACUGGUUGCUCUGAGCUUCAGCCAUGAAGGCUUUUCUCCUCCUAGUUGCCAUCUUCUUGUUUUCCCACCAGGCAGUCACAGCAAUUGGCGAAAGAGACCCUGCUGAUGUUGCUUGUUUCAAAAGUGGUGGCUCCUGUAGACCAGUAUGUCCUUUCCCUGCUGAACAAUCAGGAACAUGUGCUGGUGAUCUGAUUUGCUGUCAAUGGCCUCACCAACAUCCCGUAUAAAAUAUCAGGAAAACUCUGAAGAGUCUGAAGAAGAUAUUGAAACAUGGUGGCUGGAAGGUGUGCAAACAGUUCCCCUGAGAUAAAAAUAUUUUGAUUGAAUAUAUAAUCUGGAAAAAGAUAACUGUUUAACCUGUUGAUCUAUAUAUUAAAGUUCUAUAAUAGCAA